AUUGAACGCUGGCGGCAGGCCUAACACAUGCAAGUCGAACGGUAACAGGAAGACGCUUGCUUCUUUGCUGACGAGUGGCGGACGGGUGAGUAAUGUCUGGGAAACUGCCUGAUGGAGGGGGAUAACUACUGGAAACGGUAGCUAAUACCGCAUAACGUCGCAAGACCAAAGAGGGGGACCUUCGGGCCUCUUGCCAUCGGAUGUGCCCAGAUGGGAUUAGCUAGUAGGUGGGGUAACGGCUCACCUAGGCGACGAUCCCUAGCUGGUCUGAGAGGAUGACCGGCCACACUGGAACUGAGACACGGUCCAGACUCCUACGGGAGGCAGCAGUGGGGAAUAUUGCACAAUGGGCGCAAGCCUGAUGCAGCCAUGCCGCGUGUAUGAAGAAGGCCUUCGGUUUGUAAAGUACUUUCAGCGGGGAGGAAGGGAGUAAAGUUAAUACCUUGGCUCAUUGACGUUACCCGCAGAAGAAGCACCGGCUAACUCCGUG
rnacentral:rRNA from 1 species